rnacentral:rRNA from 1 species
UACGUAGGGGGCAAGCGUUGUCCGGAAUCAUUGGGCGUAAAGCGCGUGUAGGCGGCCAGGUAAGUCCGUUCUGAAAGCCCGGGGCUCAACCCCGGGAGGCGGAUGGAUACUGCUUGGCUCGAGUCCGGAAGAGGCGAGUGGAAUUCCCGGUGUAGCGGUGAAAUGCGCAGAUAUCGGGAGGAACACCAAUGGCGAAGGCAGCUCGCUGGGACGGUACUGACGCUGAGGCGCGAAGGCG